GUAACAAGUCUGACAGUAUAACUCUGAAUCACAUUCAACUUCAUAUAUAUAUAUGCUGGGUGAAGAAGUCCAGAAAACCUGUCUUUCCCUCUUCUACUUAUAACACCCGGAUUUCCCAGUCAAGGGUAUUUCCAUCGUACCACUGUAGGAUGCGUCCUCCUACACCAAUCAUUAAUCAAGAAAAAUACACCACAGACUUCCUAUGGGCCAAUCUGAUGGAGGCAUUUUUCUCAAUUGACGUUCCCUGUCUUCUCAGAUAACUAGAACCAGGAUGUAUCGACGGAUAGAUUGAUAAACUGUGCAGUAACGGGUUGGAUCAACCUUAUUUAUACUCAUUACUUCCAAGAUUCAUUUAUUCCAUCUAAUAGGGCCCAUAAAACAAGUAAUCUUCAUUGGUCAGUACAAUGACUAUAUGCUGAAAAUAAGCGUUGAAUAUUUUAAAGUGUCACUGAGUCCCAGAAUUGCUUGGUCAAAGGUGAUUUUUAUUGCUUUAUCAGAUCAGCAGAUUCCAGAGAAGACUGCAAGUGAAAACCAUUAGCAACUAGCCAGCAUGCACUGGAGCCAGAGACUAUGGCAUUAACCUACUAAGGGGAACUUGGCAGAGCGCCAACAGAGCAGGCUACAGGAAGAUCAACAAAAAUUGAAAAUUGAGCUGAUUCAUAUUUCAGACCACCCAAAAUACUGAGGGUUUCUAGGAAUUGAAAUACUAGGAACAACAAAAAGAAAUCAUCAAGUGCUUAGAUUUUCAGACUGCAAAAGAAAUGCAGUUACAUUAAAAGGGAUACUUUGGAAAAUACGUAUGCUAAGAAUAAGUUAGCCUCAGAAAAUAGAAACGUAUGUCAUAGUUAAUACACAAAAUUCAAUGGAGCAAUUAGAAGAUGAACCAAGAAAAUUUCUCAAAACUGCAAUAAAAAAUUUUAGAAAAUAGGCUGAAUGGAAGUAUGAAAGUUCAGGAUAUUUCACUAUUUGACAGAUUUUUUUCAAAAAACACAUAUCAAAAUAAAUGUAAAAAGAAAAAUAUUUGAGACAAGAAGGGGGAAAGGGGAAAAUGAUCAGGUAUUGGAAGGGGACAGGAUUGAAAGAAUGAGGGCCAGCAGAAAGAACGGAAACAGCCAUCCUCGGGAGGUAGGAGGUGGGGGGACCCUCUAGAACGUACCAGAGACCUGGGAGUUAAGAGACUCUAAGGACUCAAAGGACAUUAGAUGAGAUGCCCUACAGUGGGGAAAGGGAACUUGUAGAGUCCACCUCUAGUAGAAAGACAGGGCAACA
ensembl:lncRNA